UACAGAGGUCUCGAGCGUUAGGCGGAAUCACUGGGCUUAAAGCGUGUGUAGGCGGAUCGUUAAGUACCUUGUGAAAUCCCAUGGCUCAACCAUGGAACUGCUUGGUAUACUGGCGAUCUUGUGCAACCUAGGGGCGAGCGGAACAGAUGGUGGAGCGGUGAAAUGCGUAGAUAUCAUCUGGAACGCCAAUGGUGAAAACAGCUCGCUGGGGGCUUGCAGACGCUGAGACACGAAAGCCAGGGGAGCGAACGGG
rnacentral:rRNA from 1 species